CUCUCUCACAAAAUAGUUCAUCUCUUCAUCUCCGCUUCACCAUCGUUGCGCCGCUGCUACACGAUCUUCCUCUCUCUCACAAAACGUUCAUCUCUUCAUCGCUUCACCAUCACAGUUUACAGGAAGUGAGGAUUACUCUUUCAAACAUAUGUGGAGGAAUCAAUAUGAAGAAAGCUUGUUCAGAUGUGACUUCAUGAGUGGAACUUUCGUAUAGGUUUCACUCCUAGCGAAGGUUUGGUUAUUUAUUCAGUAGCCUAUAUUGAUGAAAGUCAAGGGCGAAGGCUAGUGGCACACAGGUUGAGUUUUGUUGAGAUGGUUGUCCCAUAUGGAGAUCCAAACGAUCCUCACUAUAGGAAGAAUGCAUUUGAUGCUGGCGAAGAUGGCCUCGGUAAAAAUGCUCAGUCUCUCAAGAAGGUCAAUGCAUUUUUAUUUUAAUCCAAACUUUCAUAACUUAUUAUUCUCCAUUCACAAUUGACAUGAAAUUAAAGUUAUUUUUGCAUGUUAUAAUUAUUACAGGGUUGUGAUUGUUUAGGCUAUAUCAAGUACUUUGAAUAUCCAUUUAGUAAACAAGCUGAGAAUUGAAAAGGAAUAUUAUUUUUAAUAUACUUGAGUGAGUUACCAUCGAGCAACAUGUUUAAUUUGUUUACCUUGAAGGUUCUUUAUCGAGCUCCAAAAGCUUUAAAUAGAAAAGCUACUACCAAUGGGAAGAAUCAAGGUUCUUGAAAUAAUAUGUUAAGGUGAUUGAGGUAUUGUUUUUCCACUCAAUGGUAACUAUAGUUAUAUUAACCUCAAUAUCUUUGAAAUAUGUUAAAG